rnacentral:rRNA from 1 species
UACGGAGGAUCCAAGCGUUAUCCGGAAUUACUGGGCGUAAAGAGUUGCGUAGGUGGCAGAGUAAGCAAGUAGUGAAAUCGUGUGGCUCAACCAUACACCCAUUACUUGAACUGCUCAGCUAGAGGACGAGAGAGGUAGAUGGAAUUCCCAGUGUAGGAGUGAAAUCCGUAGAUAUUGGGAGGAACACCGAUGGCGUAGGCAGUCUACUGGCUCGUGCCUGACACUCAGGCACGAAAGCGUGGGGAGCAAACGGG